rnacentral:siRNA from 1 species
AUUAGUUUUAAGUGCUAGCUA